AGACUGACAGGAAACCAUCUCAGAAGAG
rnacentral:piRNA from 1 species